UUGAGCAGGAGUAGAGUUAAAAGAGAAGGCUCGAUGCUGGAAGAGAAGGGAGGGAAGAGAACACGGGGUUUGGGCUUAGGGAGCAGGAGGAGGGCUCACCCCUCGGGCAGCAGAGUGAUGCUGUGGGGAGCAGGGAUGGUGUCGGGAGGCUGAGGGCACUCACCAUGGUGCAGAAUGGUGACAUGGUGCUGUGGGGAGCAGGGAUGGUGUCAGGGGGCUGAGGGCACUCACCGUGGUGCAGAAUGGUGACAUGGUGCUGUGGGAGCAGGGAUGGUGUUGGGAGGCUGAGGGCACUCACCGUGGUGCAGAAUGGUGACAUGGUGCUGUGGGGAGCAGGGAUGGAGUGUGGAGAGGUAAAGGGGCAGGAUGUGACUGUCUUUGAAUCCCAACAGAGGGCACGGGGAGCCCACAGAUGAAAGGCUGAGGCAGUGAGCUUUCAUGGGCUCUUGAAUUUUGUGGGAAAACAAAAAAAGACAUCAAAAGGAAAGGGUUAAGUGGCAGUGGUGGUGGAGAUUUGAGUACUUAUAAACAGGGCAGCUGGGGCCUAUGGUGGAUUUGUCCCAGUAAGAAAUUGGCUUUUACUGCUUAUGUGGGAAAGGAGAAUUCAAAGUACCAGGCACUGACAGUGUUUUGAGUUAUGAAAGGAUUUUAAUGUUUGCCAAAAAACCCCUAAAGAACAAUCCAAACUCUUUUAUAAAUAAACCUUUGUACUGUUAAAGCCUUCUGAAUCAUGAUUUUGCACAAGGGAUGAAGUCAAACAAAGCAUGGUGUGUUCUUUUCUUUUGGAGGGGUCUUUGCCUAUAGAUCUGGAUGGGAAAUAUGUUUCCUAUCUUCCCAUAGUUUCUGAUUAGUCAGUGGGACAAACCUGGGAGUCGUGCAUUUUUUCAUGGAAUAUGAAAAAGAGCACAUAUACCCCAUGACCUCAUUUCCUCCUCCUGGAUCACUAGGCGUUAAAUUCCUCCUCCAUCCUUCUCAGAGCAGUGACCUAAGGACCUUGCUGUUCUAGAGCAGAUAGUAUGCAAAAAAAAAAAAAAAAAAUUCUGGUGAGGGGGGGGGGGGGGGGGGGGGGGGGGGGGGGGGGGGGGGGGGGGGGGGGGGGGGGGGGGGGGGGGGGGGGGGGGGGGGGGGGGGGGGGGGGGGGGGGGGGGGGGG
rnacentral:lncRNA from 1 species